rnacentral:lncRNA from 1 species
AUCUGGAAUGAGCACAAGAAGCAUUUAGUCUAAAGAUAAUGGCACUCUUUUUCAUUAUAUCUUCCUUAGGAAAACUUGAUCCUUGUUUCUUUUUAAUAUGAGAAUUUUGCUAAAACAUCAGUUUGUGCCCGUGGAGGAAUCUGUUUUCAGUAUUUCCAUUGCAUCUUUAUCUCAUUCCUAAUGUUUGCAAUUGAUUACUGAUUCAAUUUAGUGGUGAUUGAACUGAGUUAUUGGGUCUGCUUGAUUAAUAAUUGGAUUGGAAUGCAAUUGACCCUUUUAGGGCUUUACACUCUUUUUAAUUACAUUUUCCUUAGGAAAUCUUAAUCCUUGUUUCUGUUUAAUAUGAGAAUUUUGCUAAAACAUCAGUUUGUACCUUUGCAGGAAUCUGUUUUCAGUAUUAGCAUUGCAUCUUAUCUCAUUCCAGAUAUCUGCAAUCGAUUACUGAUUCAAUUUGGGUCUGCUUGAUGAAUAAUCGGGUAGGAAUGCGAUAGCCCUUUUAGGGCUUGUUUGGAUACAUCUAUAUCUCUCGGUAUUUCAGGAGAAUGGGACAAUUCAUGUUUAUGUUAUACCUAAAAGGUAUGUGUACUCAAAUAUUGUUCUUGUGGACGACGCUACAAGACUUCCCAGGGAGAAAGGAUAAAAAAACGCCUGUACUAAGCUCCAUCCUAUUUCCACUAAAAAAUUU